rnacentral:lncRNA from 10 species
GGGGAGCCUCAGGCAGAGCUGAUUCAGGCCUGGGGAGGCACGGGAGCCACAUGUUCAGGGUCCACAGGCCCAGCGGAGUGAUACGGAAGUUUCCAAGAUGGUAAUGAAAUCCAAUGGGAUAUUGGGGCCUGCAAAGGAGAAGAGGAGAUCCGCACAAACCCGUUCCUGGCUGCUGCAUUCACCUCCAGCGUUUGUGAUGCCCCAGAGCACAGAACUCCAGGGAGCCCACGAUGCAGGAGAGUUCAGCGACAUUCACUGAGUACAAGAGAAGUGAGUUACUCCUGCAGCUGAGCACGGGGGGCGCUGGCAACUGCGAAAGGUCUCGCUUUCCAUUCCAACCAGAACUUGCUCCUAGCGCAGACAGAAGGCCGUGGCAUUCUGAGAAACACACAUGAUGAAGGAGCCCUGUCAUAUCCUCUCUUCCUUGCAUCGCUUCCCCGUGUGAGCAACCACUUGUGCUGGAAAUGAUGACAAGGAAGGACCGGGAAAGACAGGGCCACCCGCAGUUCCUUUUCCUUGACGUCUUUCCUUCCUCAUCAGCGAGCUGAGGUGGAGAGCGUUGGUAGAAUGUGUGCAUAAUAAGAAGUGAAAUAAAAACAGUCGAGUUAGUAUUCUACUGUUUCCACUGUUCUGGUGAGAACAAAACACAUAUGCUGUAUAUGCUUUGAAAUACAAAGUGUGUAAUUUUAG